GUGCUCACUUCAGCAGCACAUAUACUAAAAUUGGAACAAUGCAGAGAAGAUUAGCAUGGCCCCUGUGCAAGGAUGACAUGCAAAUUCGUGAAGCAUUCCAUAUUUUU
rnacentral:snRNA from 1 species